AGCAAUAUACUAAACGGCUAGGCAGGUCCAAUUUCGAGAAAGAGGUUAGCUGCCGAAUUCAACUCGGCUGGG